rnacentral:rRNA from 1 species
AUGAAACUCAAAGGGAAUUGACGGGGGGCCCCGCACAAGCGGUGGAGCAUGUGGUUUAAUUCGAUGAUACGNGAGGAACCUUACCAGGGCUUAAAUGCAUUAUGACAGGUCUAGAGAUAGACUUUUCUUCGGACAUUUUGCAAGGUGCUGCAUGGUUGUCGUCAGCUCGUGCCGUGAGGUGUCAGGUUAAGUCCUAUAACGAGCGCAACCCCUACCGUUAGUUGCCAGCGAGUGAUGUCGGGGACUCUAACGGGACUGCCGGUGCAAACCGUGAGGAAGGUGGGGAUGACGUCAAAUCAUCACGGCCCUUACGUCCUGGGCCACACACGUGCUACAAUGGCCGGUACAGAGGGAAGCCACCCCGCAAGGGGGCGCGGAUCUAUAAAACCGGUCACAGUUCGGAUCGGGGUCUGCAACUCGACCCCGUGAAGCUGGAAUCGCUAGUAAUCGGAUAUCAGCCAUGAUCCGGUGAAUACGUUCCCGGGCCUUGUACACACCGCCCGUCAAGCCAUGGAAGCCGGGAGUGCCUGAAGUCCGUCACCGCAAGGAGCGGCCUAGGGCAUAGAGUUUAA